UACGUAGGGGGGCUAGCGUUGUCCGGAAUCAUUGGGCGUAAAGCGCGUGUAGGCGGUCCGGUAAGUCCGCUGUGAAAGUCGGGGGGCUCAACCUCGGAUGCCGGUGGAUACUGUCGGGCUUGAGUACGGGAAGAGGCGAGUGGAAUUCCUGGUGUAGCGGUGAAAUGCGCAGAUAUCAGGAGGAACACCAAUUGCGAAGGCAG
rnacentral:rRNA from 1 species